CAAAUACACCCUCCACAUUGGUUGAAUAACGACCAUACUCAGCCUUGAAGUUUGAUCGGUUGUCUUUCUCUACACCCAGCUUGUCUGCGACGUUCUGCAGGAGCAAACAGCAACAUAAUGGGUGAUGUAAUUUUCAGGAAAUUGAAAGCUACCUGCUGCUCAAAGUCCGCUUUUGAUCGAGGCGUAGGUGUAAGAAACACCUGUUCCACAACUGGUUCAGUCAGCAAAGCAGACUUACCCAGUCCUGAGUUGUCAGUCGGGACAGUACGCCAUCCAAGGACAGUAUGCCCAAGUGAUUCAGCAACCUAAAAUACAACACAAACUCAACAUUCAGUCAAAUUUCAUAAUCCAGUGUUCCCCACUGAUCAAUCAUCGCCUUCAGAUAACAAAAAGUUUCCACCCAGUAGUAAUGGUAAUUCCAGUAACCCAAGAGACAUUUAUUAUUGAGACUCGUCUACAUUUGUUAGUUCGUGUCCAGGUAUCAAACUCAGACCAUUUCAUUAAACUCUUGCAUGUUUUCGUCAAAAUUAAAGGUCAAGUGCAAGUAUCUAUACUCAUUCAUAUCACCGUGUCCAGUGUCCAGUGUCCAGUAUCCAGUAUCCAGUACAGGUGUUUGAGAUGAAAACGAAAUGAAGAAUCUUAACCAACACAGACCAAGACAAAUAAAAACAACCAAAAAACCAAUAAUCAGAUAAAUGACAUAAUCUUAAUACAAGUCAGAUAUAACCUGGAAUAUUUUUAAAAAGAACCACAAAACACAAGAAGAACAUGAUAUUAUUCCCACUAGAUAUAGUCACGUGACACCUUUCCACCAAACAUUCAAAAAUUAGGAAAAAUCCACUUUUCAAGCAUGUAGAUGUCAAAUCCAAUGAAAUUGAUGAAAGCUAAAAUUUACCUUAGUAAACACAUUUUUGCUUUCUUCCCUUCUACUCUCUGAAGUAGGCAAGAAAAACAUCCCUACUGCAUAUUGCCCAAGUGGUGGCAACUCAAAACCAAGAUCCUUUGUCACCUGAAUCAUUCCAAAACGACCAUUAAAAAAAAUUCCUACUCAGCCACCUAAAAUUUCCUACUAUCGCCCUCAAUACGUAUUUUUUAACACACAAUUAACCUCUAUAACUAUUUUCGUUUUCCACUGAUGACAAAAACAAACCAAACAAUCAUAAAAGUAGCUAAAAAACAAAACAAAAUAGCAUCCUUCCAAAAUAUGAACUAAAUUUGUUUAAUCAUCACUUAAUUAGUUUAUUAAAGAUGUUAUACAUAAUAUAUAUUACUUUUUAGAUUAAACUUAAUGCCAAAAAUCGAAAUAAAUAUAUUUCUCCGUUCUGAAAUAAAUGAAAUGCUUAAAUAAAAUCAAACCUCUUUGUAGAAAUCAUGAGGAAGACCAACAAGAAUACCAGCACCAUCUCCAGUAUUAGUCUCACAACCACACGCACCUCUGUGUGACAUCCUCACUAACAUUUCUACAGCAUCCGUCACCUUCAUUCAAAUCAAAAUAAAUUCAAAAAUCAUCAUCAUCAAUUUAAACCUAAAUCUCCAAAAUUAAACAGAAUUAGGUCAAAAAAAAUCCGAACCGUUUUACGACUACUUUCGCCGGAAAGUUCUGCGACGAAUCCAACACCGCAAGAAUCCUUAUCAUAUUUCGGAUCGUAUAAACCAAGAGGCUGCUCCGGAACCUGCGAUAAUGCGGAUCGGAUAACAGACCUUAUCUUCGGCUCACGAAUCAAAGGAUUUAAUCUCUCAGAUCGUAACCUAUUUCCGAAGAAUUUACUCUCACAGAUCUUAGCUUCGGACCUCCGAACCGCGUAGCUUCGGGAAGUUCUUCUCCCGAACCUAUACAA